rnacentral:ncRNA from 1 species
AAGGCACCUCUAAUAUAAUGAGGUUAAUUGGGAAGUCGGUCAAAUUCCGACGCUGCCCCCGCAACGGUAGGUGAGAUAAAACUGUUCUUUAGCCACUGUGUUAAUUUAACAUGGGAAGGCGAUCAGCUUAGUUAUUCAGUAACUGGAUAACACUCACAAGCCCGGAGACCUACCUUGAAG